rnacentral:rRNA from 1 species
UACGUAGGUGACCAGCGUUGUCCGGAUUUACUGGGCGUAAAGAGCGCGCAGGCAGUCGUUCAAGUCGAGUGUGAAAGCCCCCGGCUCAACUGGGGAGGGUCACUCGAUACUGAUCGACUUGAAGGCAGGAGAGGGAAGCGGAAUUCCCGGUGUAGUGGUGAAAUGCGUAGAUAUCGGGAGGAACACCAGUGGCGAAGGCGG